GCCGGGUGUGGUGGUGUGCACCUGUAAUCUCAGCUACUCGGGAGGCUGAGGCAGGAGAAUCACUUGAACCUGGGAGGUGGGGGUUACAGUGAGCCAAGAUCAUGCUACUGCAUUCCAGCCUGGGUGACAGAGUGAUACUCUGUCUCAA
rnacentral:SRP_RNA from 2 species